GAUGAACGCUGGCGGCGUGCCUAAUACAUGCAAGUCGAGCGAACGGACGAGAAGCUUGCUUCUCUGAUGUUAGCGGCGGACGGGUGAGUAACACGUGGAUAACCUACCUAUAAGACUGGGAUAACUUCGGGAAACCGUAGCUAAUACCGGAUCCUCUUUUGAACCGCAUGGUUCAAAAGUGAAAGACGGUCUUGCUGUCACUUAUAGAUGGAUCCGCGCUGCAUUAGCUAGUUGGUAAGGUAACGGCUUACCAAGGCAACGAUGCAUAGCCGACCUGAGAGGGUGAUCGGCCACACUGGAACUGAGACACGGUCCAGACUCCUACGGGAGGCAGCAGUAGGGAAUCUUCCGCAAUGGGCGAAAGCCUGACGGAGCAACGCCGCGUGAGUGAUGAAGGUCUUCGGAUCGUAAAACUCUGUUAUUAGGGAAGAACAUAUGUGUAAGUAACUGUGCACAUCUUGACGGUACCUAAUCAGAAAGCCACGGCUAACUACGUG
rnacentral:rRNA from 1 species